CCUACGGGAUGCUGCCGUGGGGAAUAUUGCACAAUGGGGGGAACCCUGAUGCAGCAACGCCGCGUGGGUGAAGAAGUACUCCGGUAUGUAAAGCCCUGUCAGCAGGGAAGAAAAUGACGGUACCUGACCACGAAGCCCCGGCUAACUACGUGCCAGCAGCCGCGGUAAUACGUAGGGGGCAAGCGUUAUCCGGAUUUACUGGGUGUAAAGGGAUCGUAGACGGCAAGGCAAGUCUGGAGUGAAAGCCCGUGGACCAACCACGGGACUGCUUUGGAAACUGUGUUGCUGGAGUGCAGGAGGGGUAAGCGGAAUUCCUAGUGGAGCGGUGAAAUGCGUAGAUAUUAGGAGGAACAGCGGUGGAGAAGGCGGCUUACUGGACUGUAACUGACGUUGAGGCUCGAAGGCGUGGGGAGCAAACAGGAUUAGAUACCCCUGUAGUC
rnacentral:rRNA from 1 species